AAGGUCUUUACUUGUUUUGUGGCAAUCUAGUUAUUAUAGAAAAAAACAGAACUGUGGUACCACUCUCAUGCUCUUCUGACAACAGGUAUGUUUCAGGACAUCUGCCUAAAUACCGAGGACAAGACUGCAUUUCUCUAAGUUAAGAUGCCUGGAUGAAAUAGUUAUACGGUCUCCCUUAUAGUCCAUGGAGAGAAGAAUGCAGCAGUUCGGUGUGACUCGUGGUCAAGUGUAUAUCCUAGGAUAAGAAACCUCAGAGGCUCAUCUUGCUUUUGAACAGACAUUCAGAUCUUUAUGACUUUUUGGGUCAGAGGGAAGAAGCACACAGGGAACAUGCUUAAGUCACUUGCUACUUCUGGUCCAGGACACUGAGUGAUCAACUGCAAUGAUGAGGAAGGAACGUACUGUAUGUAUAAUGUAAUUCUACAUAAGUAGCUACAUUUCAGUAGUCACUGGAAAACCUACUGAAAAGUUAUGAAAAGCCUUAGUGUGGAGGAGACAGGACUG